UACGGAGGGGGCUAGCGUUGUUCGGAAUUACUGGGCGUAAAGCGCACGUAGGCGGCUUUGUAAGUUAGAGGUGAAAGCCCGGAGCUCAACUCCGGAACUGCCUUUAAGACUGCAUCGCUUGAAUCAUGGAGAGGUUAGUGGAAUUCCGAGUGUAGAGGUGAAAUUCGUAGAUAUUCGGAAGAACACCAGUGGCGAAGGCGACUAACUGGACAUGUAUUGACGCUGAGGUGCGAAAGCGUGGGGAGCAAACGGG
rnacentral:rRNA from 1 species